ACGCUUGUGCAGUCGGCCCACCACAGCUUUUCUAACUUUUGACCUCAAAUCAGGUAGGACUACCCGCUGAACUUAAGCAUAUCAAUAAGCGGAGGAAAAGAAACCAACAGGGAUUGCCUUAGUAGCGGCGAGUGAAGCGGCAAAAGCUCAAAUUUGAAAUCUGGCUCUUUCAGAGUCCGAGUUGUAAUUUGAAGAAGGUAUCUUUGGGCCUGGCUCUUGUCUAUGUUUCUUGGAACAGAACGUCACAGAGGGUGAGAAUCCCGUGCGAUGAGAUGACCCAGGUCCGUGUAAAGUUCCUUCGACGAGUCGAGUUGUUUGGGAAUGCAGCUCUAAGUGGGUGGUAAAUUCCAUCUAAAGCUAAAUAUUGGCGAGAGACCGAUAGCGAACAAGUACAGUGAUGGAAAGAUGAAAAGAACUUUGAAAAGAGAGUGAAAAAGUACGUGAAAUUGUUGAAAGGGAAGGGCUUGAGAUCAGACUUGGCAUUUUGCAUGUUGCUUCUUCGGGGGCGGCCUCUGCGGUUUGUCGGGCCAGCAUCAGUUUGGGCGGUAGGACAAUCGCGCGGGAAUGUGGCACGGCCUCGGCUGUGUGUUAUAGCCCGCGUGGAUACUGCCAGCCUAGACUGAGGACUGCGGUUUAUACCUAGGAUGUUGGCAUAAUGAUCUUAAGUCGCCCGU
rnacentral:rRNA from 1 species